UGACGUCAGUUCCUCCUCCUGCUCUCAGUUCAGCAGUGUGGAUUUUAUGAUGUCACAGAAUGAACCAGGGUCUAUUUCACCCAGGAGAUGUUAGGGCGGCAACGCUUCUACUGUACUCUCCUGGUUUUGCUGGACCCCACAAAU
ensembl:snoRNA small nucleolar RNA SNORA79